rnacentral:rRNA from 1 species
UACGUAGGGGGCAAGCGUUGUCCGGAUUUAUUGGGCGUAAAGAGCUCGUAGGCGGCUGUUCGCGUCGGAUGUGAAAGCUCAGGGCUCAACCCUGAGAGGCCAUUCGAUACGGGACAGCUAGAGGUAGGUAGGGGAGAGUCGGAAUUCCUGGUGUAGCGGUGAAAUGACGCAGAUAUCAGGAGGAACACCGAUGGCGAAGGCAGAUCUCUGGGCCUUACCUGACGCUGAGGAGCGAAAGCUGGGGGAGCGAACAGG